rnacentral:rRNA from 1 species
AUUCCAGCUCCAACAGCGCAUGUCAAUGUUGUUGCAGUUAAAAAGCUCGCAGUUGGUUUUCUGGUGGGAGUGGCCGGUCCGCCGUGAGGUGUGCACUUGGUUGUCUCCCGUCAUCCUUGUGGGAACUGCUCUGGCAUUGAGUUGUCGGGGUUAGGGAACACAUCGUUCACUGUGAAAAAAUUAGAGUGUUUAAAGCAGGCUCAUGCCGUUGAAUGCAUUAGCAUGGAACAACAAGAUGGGACUUUGGCGUCUGUUUUGUUGGUUUGCACACCAAGGUGAUGAUCAAUGGGGAUAGUUGGGGGCAUUCGUAUUCAAUUGUCAGAGGUGAAAUUCUUGGAUUUAUGAAAGACGAACUUCUGCGAAAGCAUUUACCAAGGAUGUUUUCAUUG